rnacentral:rRNA from 1 species
GUGGGGAAUUUUGGACAAUGGGGGCAACCCUGAUCCAGCCAUGCCGCGUGCAGGAUGAAGGCCUUCGGGUUGUAAACUGCUUUUGUCAGGGACGAAAAGGACCGUGUUAAUACCAUGGUCUGCUGACGGUACCUGAAGAAUAAGCACCGGCUAACUACGUGCCAGCAGCCGCGGUAAUACGUAGGGUGCAAGCGUUAAUCGGAAUUACUGGGCGUAAAGCGUGCGCAGGCGGUUCUGUAAGACAGAUGUGAAAUCCCCGGGCUCAACCUGGGAAUUGCAUUUGUGACUGCAGGACUAGAGUUCAUCAGAGGGGGGUGGAAUUCCAAGUGUAGCAGUGAAAUGCGUAGAUAUUUGGAAGAACACCAAUGGCGAAGGCAGCCCCCUGGGAUGCGACUGACGCUCAUGCACGAAAGCGUGGGGAGCAAACAGGAUUAGAAACCCCAGUAGUCC